UACAGAGGGUGCGAGCGUUGUCCGGAAUCACUGGGCGUAAAGGGCGCGUAGGUGGCGGCCCAAGUCCAUGGUGAAAGCUCGAUGCUCAACAUCGAGUCGGCCACGGAUACUGGGUUGCUCGAGCACUGUAGGGGCAGAUGGAAUUCCGGGUGUAGCGGUGGAAUGCGUAGAGAUCCGGAAAGAACACCGGUGGCGAAGGCGGUCUGCUGGGCAGUUGCUGACACUGAGGCGCGAC
rnacentral:rRNA from 1 species